ACACAGGGAAGGAGGUGGUCCGCGAAAUUGAUUGCGUUAUGGACAUGUGAGGUGGCUGCGCGCUAAGCAGCGCCAGGCUGGAAAGACCCGGCAUUAUCUGCUGGCGAAUUCCCCGCAGCCACCCGGCCCCCGAGCCCCCGGUCUGUCCAACCCGGAACUACGGCUCGGGGGCUGCCCAUU
rnacentral:sRNA from 1 species